rnacentral:lncRNA from 1 species
CUCUUUUACCUUGGGGUAGAGGCACCACAGAAUAGCAAGAAAAACCACUGUACUGGGAGUCAGGAACACAGGGAUGAUGAGCCCAGCCUACCACGAAUCUUCCGUGUGGCUUUGGACAAGUCAUUCGGCUGUCUGGACCCUUAUUUCCGUACUGGCCAAGUGAAGGCAAUCCCCAGGACUUUGCCUGCCUCACAAGAGCGUUGUGCCUCUUCUCCAGGGCACGUGGGUGCCCCGGCCCCAAAGAGCAGGAGGGCCAAUGGACAUGAAGUGGUGUGUCCAAAGGAGGGACCCCGACAAAACGUCUUAUUCCACUGGAGAAGCACCAUCAAGCAGCUGCUCCACGUGAGACGCUCUCCUGGCCAUUGGGGACAUCCAGACAAACCCAAACCCAUUCCCGGAGUGGGGCUAGAAAGGAAGGCACCGCGUGUGACAGCUAUUUUGUCAGCAUCACUAACAGGAGAGCGAGAAAGCCGAAAGCCUGGAGGCAGAGCCCCCCCACUCCAGCUCCAACCAGACUUCUCAGAAUGAGAUUGAUUACAAUGAAUUCUUCAGGGUCUCUAUGCAUGGUGCAAGCAAUGAGCAAAGAACUUUCUGAUUCUAGCCUGGCUUCGUGAAGGUGGUGAGUAGAAGAAGACUUUUCCUUAUUCAACUUGAAAGGAUGUGUACACACUCGGUGGCCUCUAUGAUUAAGAGAAAAGAACUAACCACACAGAACUCCUGGAAGAGGAAAAAAAGGACUAAUGACGAUAGUGAAGAGGAGGAUUAGGAUUAGAUCGACAUUUCACCUCCGGGGCCACAAUGAACUCCAAAUGGGUACUUGAUCCCCCAACAAGCUUGUACUACUUUAGAAAACCACCAAUUAGCAUUCUCUAUGGUUCACCGUGGUUUUAUUUAUUUUGUUAAUUGUUCCCCAUUACAUGGCAAUCUGGUUUGAGUCCUGAGUUCAAAUCUCAAUUUAAAAAGAUCGUAUUUUAAACAAAUUGUAGGAGAACUUCCUAACCUUGGAUAGGAGGAGCGCUCUGGCCAAACAAGGGAUAGAAAUGAUCACAAAAGAGAAAGUGGGCAAUUUUGAUUAUAUAAAUUUAA